AACAAACGCUGGCGGCAGGCUUAACACAUGCAAGUCGAGCGGGGUGAUGGUGCUUGCACUAUCACUUAGCGGCGGACGGGUGAGUAAUGCUUAGGAAUCUGCCUAUUAGUGGGGGACAACAUUUCGAAAGGAAUGCUAAUACCGCAUACGUCCUACGGGAGAAAGCAGGGGAUCUUCGGACCUUGCGCUAAUAGAUGAGCCUAAGUCGGAUUAGCUAGUUGGUGGGGUAAAGGCCUACCAAGGCGACGAUCUGUAGCGGGUCUGAGAGGAUGAUCCGCCACACUGGGACUGAGACACGGCCCAGACUCCUACGGGAGGCAGCAGUGGGGAAUAUUGGACAAUGGGCGGAAGCCUGAUCCAGCCAUGCCGCGUGUGUGAAGAAGGCCUUAUGGUUGUAAAGCACUUUAAGCGAGGAGGAGGCUACUUUAGUUAAUACCUAGAGAUAGUGGACGUUACUCGCAGAAUAAGCACCGGCUAACUCUGUGCCAGCCGCCGCCGUAAUAC
rnacentral:rRNA from 1 species